CAAAGCUUCCUCAUCUGUUCUGCCUAAUUCCUCUACCUAUCAUUAACCCCUUCCCCCCAAAGAGCAAUUCUAUAUCUUUAUAGAAACUAUUAUGUUAAAACUAGUAAUAAGAAGUAAGACCUUCUCUUUAAUGCAAACCUACAUCAGCAAGGACACCCCACUGAUUCUUAUCGCCCUUAAAAACAUGGCAGCAACUUAUCAAGAAAACACUCCCUCCAUCAGCGUUAACCUAACACCAGAGCAUUUUAAGAAAGAUUUAAAGAAAAAGAAGGAACUCGGCAAAUAAUAGCCCCGCCUGUUUACCAAAAACAUCGCCUCUUGCCACCUAUAAGAGGUCCAGCCUGCCCAGUGACUCUGUUCAACGGCCGCGGUAUC
rnacentral:rRNA from 1 species